CCUCAGACUCAUCCAUUCAGUUGUCGUACUGAUCCGCCUGUCUACAAACUGUUCCUAAUCGUAUUGUAACUGUACUGGUAGCAGCACAAACGAAUCUCCACUAGAAACUGUCUUCAGGGCAUCAGAUAAUUCUUAACGGUUAGGUUUUAGUCUCGGGGUUAGUUAGGGUUAGUGUUGGAGUUGGAAUUGGGUCAGGGUUAGGGUGGAUUGAUGUUGGCGAGGUGCAGAACUUGCGAAGUGAAAGGUGGGAGUUUGGAUAAAUGCCCUCAAAUCAUCUGAUGCCACGAGGGCAGUUUUUAGUGGAUAUACCUUUCUGCUGCGUACUGGUAUGAAACUUGCUUGUUUUUGGGUUUAGUAUCGAAACAGUUAUACUGUAAUGUUAUUUGUGGUACGUGUUAAAAUAUGGUACGCCGCGCACUCUACUUGCUUGCACAUGCAUAAACAACUUCCACUACGAAAGCAAGGAAAAGCCCAUUCAAAUCUGGUCAAGUUUUGGUAUGCAUACCACAUUCUGAGGAUGUACCACUUUCUGGCCCUACACCGAUAACAACUCCAGUGUGAAUAGACGUUCAACGACAACGGCUCCCAUUCACCGUCCAGACUGACCAUGCUGCCCUGCAGGUGGCCCGCUGGAUAGAGCAGCUUCAGUCCUUCCACUUCACCAUCCAGCACAGGGCUGGAGCUCGCCACCCCUGAUAGAGGAGGGCUGCAACCACUGUCUGAAGAGGGAAGUGCGGGAGCAGGAGCUGACCACAGCCGAGCAGCGGUCGACGAGUAGAAAGUUGUUGUCUGCAGGGAACUGGCCAUGGUUGACUCGGCAGAGUGGAGGCGGCAGCAGGAUCUGGACUCUGACUUUGAGCUGGGGCUGCAGUGGCUGGAGAUGCUGCAGCGCCCCCUCUAGGAGGAGAUCACGCUGCAAUCGGCAGCAACCAAGGGCCUAUGGUCGCAAUGGGCUGGCUUGGGCAUAUAUAUGUGUGCGUGUGUGUAUUUAGGGUCACACACAAUAGUAUCUCAAAUCUACCUUUAAUGGAAAAAAAGAAAAAAAUCACUUGUUUUGUUAACCCAUGUAUUGAAAUGAGAGAAAAACUAUGAUUACGAAGAAGGAGAAGUGAUGAAAAAUUACAGUGGUAAUGGAAAAUAUGAAUAGGAAAAAAAGCAAAUGUGCAUCUUCUCAAACGCUUGUUAAAAUGCAUCUGGAAGUUAAGCCGUCACUGCAUUGUUUAUCACAUGCCAGUCUUUUCUACCACAAACUUUACUGUGAAAACUUGUUGGCACUGCAGGGUUCUGCAAUUCAUAUCGCCUGCGCCCGGGACAACAAGGUUUGUGUGAGGGACAACAAGUUUUGCCGUUAUAUUUUGCCCAUUGGACAAAUAGUUUAAUAUUUAUUUAUGUUUCCUAUAUUCGUUCUGUUGGAACACUCUGGGUAUAGGGUUGCAACCUUUUCCACAGACCAAACCCAGACAUAUUUCUCAGUCAGCCUAGGUCUAUUAAAACUACAGUAUACUGUGAUAAACAUUUAACACCACCAGAUCUCGAUACAAAUCAAUAAUCAUGCAGUAUACACAGUAUUGUGCUCUUGAUAUUUUAGCAAUAGAACUUGUAAGCCAGAAAAAUAGUAGCUAUAUCAUGGAACAUUAGAGGUUAAUCUUACUUGAGACAAGGAGCUGUGGUGAUAAGUAACGCCGUGGAAAUCAGGGCAAUUUCUGAAGUGACGAUGCUCUGUCUGCCUGUUUUAAUACACAUUAAAAACUAUAAAACAACUGCACUGUAGUUUGUGUGUCGCUAAAAAGAAACACAAUGAGUCCAAAUGUACUCAAAUAUGGUUCACUACAUAACACAGUGGAAUGAUCACAACCUCAUGUAGUAACUGUAGGGCAGUGUUGCCAUGUGUGAAAACUUUAACAAUAAACCCGAAACAAAAAUGCUUUAAAUUUAAAACAGGUUAGACUAGCAAGCACUUGCAAAAGCAGCUCAGUUUCUAUACGGUG